rnacentral:rRNA from 1 species
AUUGAACGCUGGCGGCAGGCUUAACACAUGCAAGUCGAGCGGGGAAAGGUAGCUUGCUACCUGACCUAGCGGCGGACGGGUGAGUAAUGCUUAGGAAUCUGCCUAUUAGUGGGGGACAACAUUCCGAAAGGAAUGCUAAUACCGCAUACGCCCCACGGGGGAAAGCAGGGGAUCUUCGGACCUUGCGCUAAUAGAUGAGCCUAAGUCAGAUUAGCUAGUUGGUGGGGUAAAGGCCUACCAAGGCGACGAUCUGUAGCGGGUCUGAGAGGAUGAUCCGACACACUGGGACUGAGACACGGCCCAGACUCCUACGGGAGGCAGCAGUGGGGAAUAUUGGACAAUGGGCGAAAGCCUGAUCCAGCCAUGCCGCGUGUGUGAAGAAGGCCUUUUGGUUGUAAAGCACUUUAAGCGAGGAGGAGGCUACCGAGAUUAAUACUCUUGGAUAGUGGACGUUACUCGCAGAAUAAGCACCGGCUAACUCUGUGCCAGCCGCCGCAGUAA